AGGAGCUGUUUUAUACUGUGCUUCUCUAAGCUGUCUAUGCCUUCUCUGUUUGUGUUCACUGGGAGUCUGCGUGCACCUGUGUGUUUGAGCACUGGUGUCUGUCAUUCCAGUUGGUUGUUUAUCAGUGUUGUCAUGUUAGCAGCUCAUGCAGCAGUCAGUAGGAGAGAAGCAGAACCGGACCUGCUAAUAACAAAAACUCAGAGCAAAGGAACGGUGUUUGGAGAGUUUCUGCCUCCAUCUUGAGACGAAAGAAAUCUGAGGAACAAACUUGCCUAGCUGGAAUGAAAGACUGACAACAAGCAGACUUGUGGGGAAAAGGGUCUCUUCAAUGAUUUGCUACUGUUCUUCAAAAUACUGACCGGCGUCACCAUGACAUCCUAUUUAGUGCUCACAAUAGGGUGUGCUACAAACCUGAGGCAGCUGAAAGUGUAGGACAGGAAGAAAAAAGGAGAGGACAUAUAGGAUGGUGGAGUAACGUCAAGGUGGCUUUAAGAACUUCUGGAAUGGAUGGAGAGACCCAACUGCGUUACCCCCCACCCGGUUUCUUGAUUUCUCCUAAAGCGUUGGCCUACACUUCUCUUCGAGCCUGACUUCAUCUGAGUGUAGAGGACGUUUGACCACCAGGUCCAGCUUAUGCCUUACUGGUAUGUUGGCGAUUUACGAAACUUACAGUUUUCUUUUUGUGGAAGCGGUUCAAAAUAGGGUCUAACCCACACAUUGCGAUGCGUACGUGAUUUUUAUAUUUUUUUUAAAAACUUUGCUUAUUUUUCGAUGGUGUUCGCUUUAUGUUUUCUCUCCAGAAAAAUUUUUAAGGACCAGAGAAUUGAAUUAUUG